rnacentral:rRNA from 1 species
AGUUUGAUCCUGGCUCAGGAUGAACGCUAGCUACAGGCUUAACACAUGCAAGUCGAGGGGCAGCGAUGAAGAAAGCUUGCUUUCUUCAGGCGGCGACCGGCGCACGGGUGAGUAACGCGUAUCGAACCUGCCUCAUACUCAGGAAUAGCCUUGCGAAAGUAAGAUUAAUGCCCGAUGUUAUUAGGAUAUCACAUGAUGUUUUAAUUAAAGAUUUAUCGGUAUGAGAUGGCGAUGCGUCCCAUUAGUUUGUUGGCGGGGUAACGGCCCACCAAGACAUCGAUGGGUAGGGGUUCUGAGAGGAAGGUCCCCCACAUUGGAACUGAGACACGGUCCAAACUCCUACGGGAGGCAGCAGUGAGGAAUAUUGGUCAAUGGACGCAAGUCUGAACCAGCCAAGUAGCGUGCAGGAAGACGGCCCUCUGGGUUGUAAACUGCUUUUAGUUGGGAAUAAAGUGCAUCACGUGUGAUGUUUUGUAUGUACCAUCAGAAAAAGGACCGGCUAAUUCCGUGCCAGCAGCCGCGGUAAUACGGAAGGUCCAGGCGUUAUCCGGAUUUAUUGGGUUUAAAGGGAGCGCAGGCGGACCUUUAAGUCAGCUGUGAAAUACGGCGGCUCAACCGUCGAACUGCAGUUGAUACUGGAGGUCUUGAGUGCACACAGGGAUACUGGAAUUCAUGGUGUAGCGGUGAAAUGCUCAGAUAUCAUGAAGAACUCCGAUCGCGAAGGCAGGUAUCCGGGGUGCAACUGACGCUGAGGCUCGAAAGUGCGGGUAUCAAACAGGAUUAGAUACCCUGGUAGUCCGCACAGUAAACGAUGAAUACUCGCGAUUUGCGAUACACAGUAAGUCGCCAAGCGAAAGCGUUUAGUAUUCCACCUGGGGAGUACGCCGGCAACGGUGAAA